rnacentral:rRNA from 1 species
GACGAACGCUGGCGGCGUGCUUAACACAUGCAAGUCGAGCGGUAAGGCCCUUUCGGGGGUACACGAGCGGCGAACGGGUGAGUAACACGUGGGUGACCUGCCCUCAGCUCUGGGAUAAGCCUGGGAAGCCGGGUCUAAUACCGGAUAUGACUCCAUGACGCAUGUUGUGGGGUGGAAAGCCUUGUGCGGCUGAGGAUGGGCCCGCGGCCUAUCAGCUUGUUGGUGGGGUGANGGCCUACCAAGGCGACGACGGGUAGCCGGCCUGAGAGGGCGACCGGCCACACUGGGACUGAGACACGGCCCAGACUCCUACGGGAGGCAGCAGUGGGGAAUCUUGCGCAAUGGGCGAAAGCCUGACGCAGCGACGCCGCGUGAGGGAUGACGGCCUGGUUGUAAC